GGGGGAGAAGCAUGGGGGCCUGAAUGUCUACAUCAGGGUUUUUCCAAUCACGACAAAUAGCACACGGUCGACAGGGAAUGUUUACCACUCCACGACAGCGGAUCCCACCUCUAUGUUUAACUAGAACUCGAGAGCAUGUUCUUGUCUAUCAAAUCAGCUAAGAGACAUACACAGCAUAUGCAGCUGAUCAGUUGAAAGUGGAAAGUUACACAUAUAUAAUAUAGAUAAGGAAAGAGGACUACGGAGAAGUUGAAGUUAUCCUGGUUUAGUUGUUAGUUGGAAAUUAACGUAUAUAGCCAGUAGACAACCAA